UAGCUCAGCGGUAGAGCACCACCUUGCCAAGGUGGGGGUCGCGGGUUCGAAUCCCGUUUUCCGCUUGAUGCCA
rnacentral:tRNA from 1 species